UCGUUAUUUGGAUUCAUAAAACAAACCAAUGGCAGCCCAUUUCACCUUCCCCUUCUUCACGACUAAACUUCAGUUUCUAUGGUUCAUCGUCUACUGCAACUCUGAUUAGGUCACCAAGUGUCAUCUUCCGCCUCCUUCCUUCUCGCCGAUGUGGUUUUUCUCGGCUCUCUCUUUGUCAGAUGUCUUGGUGGUUCUCUGUGCAUUUGGUGGAGGUUUUCUGGUCUGCUCCGGUAUCUCUCUAUGAAGUUUGAAGCUCGAGAUCUUCUCGCCUCUUAGUGGUGGUUUUGUGCCACCGAAAGUUUCUUGGGGCCAGUAACCCUUGACGGCGGUUAUUCAUUUGUUUCUUUAGGGUUCUCCAGUUGAUUCUGGUUUACUUACCGGGUUUCUUAAUUCACUUCGCCUCCUUCGAUCCUUUCUACUUUUAGUUUCAUAAUUUCUUGAGUUUUGUUGUUUAUCAGUUUUUAGUUUUUUUUUCUUCAACAAUUUAUCAAUUUUAGUUAAAUCCCCCCCCCCCCCUUUAUGUGUGUGUUUGGUGCUUUAUUUAUCUUUACAGGCCCGGACUGCAAAUCUCAUAAGAUUAUGAACUGAAAGUGAUCGAAACGAAAGCCAAGCUUAUCACAUGAGAUCUUUUCAGUAAGGGUCAAUAGCUAUGGCAAGACAAAUGGUUUUUGCUUAUAAGAUCAUCAUAUAAUUAACUUGAAAUUAAAACUUCCGAGACAAAUUCCAACUAUAAAUGAAGCUGUUGGUUUUAUCUAUCCCUGCAGACCUGAGUUGCAAACUUUCAGAAGAAAGUUUUUCCUUUUUUUUUUUGUUUAAAGAAAGUUUUUCAAGUAGAUGUGACAUAGAAGUAUUCAGACAUUUGGAGUUGUGUAGGAAGCAUGCACGAUUUGUCUGUCUUUUUAAGGAUCCCUGAGGAAGCUAGAGAGCUUGAAAAGCAACCCAGACAAGUCACUAAGGAGAGUAUGAGUCUGUGCGAGGCCAAGUAUGUGAGAAGAUGCUGGAUAUGAUGCACAAUCUGAACAAACUCCAGGAAGGUUGUCUUUAAGAAAAAAUUGAAUUCAAAUGCAAAGAGGAGAAACCAUAUGUGGCCGAAACCAGCAUUGAUCAAGUUUUCUAACACAGAACUCCUAGGAUUGGAUUGGAAUCAAGUGGCAUUUAUUUUGUAAAUAUGAAAACACUCGGUUGCUGUAUGUGUUUUUAUUGUGGGACAAGAGAUUAUCCAUGUCUUUGGCUAGAUUGAUGAAGGAAAAUGGGUCUUCCAAGCCAGGAUUACUGAAAAAUUCCUUUAGGUUGCACUAUGUAGAUAAAACUCUGUUCAAAUAACAGACUCAGACAUUUGUAGUAGGCAAGUGUUAGUUAUUGUUCUUUAGAAAAAUAUCUUAGGAAUAUAGUUUCUCUUUAAGCA